GCACUGGUGGUUCAGUGGUAGAAUUCUCAUCUUCCAUGCAGGAGACCUGGGUUCGAUUCUCAGCCAGUGCA
rnacentral:tRNA from 1 species